rnacentral:rRNA from 1 species
UAGGGAAUCUUCCACAAUGGGCGCAAGUCUGAUGGAGCAACGCCGCGUGAGUGAAGAAGGGUUUCGGCUCGUAAAGCUCUGUUGUUAAAGAAGAACGUGGGUAAGAGUAACUGUUUACCCAGUGACGGUAUUUAACCAGAAAGCCACGGCCAACUACGUGCCAC